UGGCUCUCCGUCUUCUUGGGCAGCAGCAUGGCAUGGAUGUUGGGCAGGAUGCCGCCCAGGUGAUGGUCACAAGGCCCAGCAGCUUGUUGAGCUCUUUGUCGUUGUGGAUGGCUAGCUGCAGGUGG
rnacentral:miRNA from 14 species